rnacentral:ncRNA from 1 species
CCCAACGAGUCGCACACUAAGCAUAGCAAUUAUAUCAAAUGAUCAAUCAAAUUUUUAUUUAACCUUAUGAGCAGUUCUAAAUUCUAUAAGGUUAAAUAAAAAUUUGAUUGAUCAUUUGAUAUAAUUGCUAUGCUUAGUGUGCGACUCGUUGGGUUUUUUAGGCUUAGGAUUCAAAAAAAAUGGGCGGACCACAGUAUAAGCUAAUAACUAUAGCACUAAUAACCAACUCAUCGCUUCGGAUUAUCUGGAUCCAAUACCCGGCCGUCGGGGCAAGAGCCAGGCCCCGAUGAGUAGGAGGGCGCGGCGGUCGCCGUAAAACCCGGGGCGGGAGCCCGGGCGGAGCGGCCGUCGGUGCAGAUCUUGGUGGUAGUAGCAAAUAUUCAAAUGAGAACUUUGAAGGCC